GACGAACGCUGGCGGCGUGCCUAAUACAUGCAAGUAGAACGCAGUUGCGAACGGGUGAGUAACGCGUAGGUAACUGCCUGGUAGCGGGGGAUAACUCUUGGAAACGAUAGCUAAUACCGCAUACUACCAGAUGGACCUGCGUUGUAUUAGCUAGUUGGUGGGGUAACGGCUCACCAAGGCAACGAUACAUAGCUGGUCUGUGAGGAUGACCAGCCACACUGGAACUGAGACACGGUCCAGACUCCGACGGGAGGCAGCAGUGGGGAAUAUUGCACAAUGGGCGCAAGCCUGAUGCAGCCAUGCCGCGUGUGGGAAGAAGGCCUUCGGGUUGGAAAGCACUUUCAGCGGGGAGGCGUUACCCGCAGAAGAAGCACCGGCUAACUCCGUGCCAGCAGCCGCGGUAAUAC
rnacentral:rRNA from 1 species